GAAAGAGUGAACUUUUACCUGGACCUCACAAGAGGAGAACAAAUGACCCAGCUUCUUAAAAUCUGAUAGCUGUACCAAAAUAAAUGUAACAGCUCUUCAAAUAUUUGAAGACAGCUAUCGGAUACCCACUAAGUCUUCUCUGGAUGAAACAUUUGCAGUUCUUUCAACUAUGCUCAUAUGGGAGUAAAUGGAGGACAUUACAAAGCUGGAUUCCCUCCUCUGGACUCUAGGACAUUCUUGUUUAUAGGCGUUUUAAAGAUAAAUGGUAAAACUGAACUGGAAAUCCAUCUGGCCAGCUGCCUGCUCUAAUGAAUAACCCCACUUUGGCUCCUGCAAUGUAAGCAGAAAGUUCUCUCCCGGCCUCUUUCGUCUGUCAUGAAUCUACAAGACAGCCGACAUAAUAUCUGGGCGACAACAGUGCGCUAACAGUGCAGUGACUUCCAUUUUCUUUGCUUUCUAUUGAUUUUCACUUAAUAACUGGCGAAAUACUAAACGUCCACCCUGAGUACCUAAUAAAUCCUGCCUGAGCUUUUUAUUGAGGAGAAUUUAAUAAAAAACAACCAUUGCGGCUGAGGGAUUUUUCUUUUGGACAGAACACGGGGGUAGGGGACAGAGGGUAGAGGUGGAGAAAGCCAUUUGAAUUUUUUUUUAAAGGGACUUUCUCCCCUUUGGAAGAGCAGUGCUGCAUCAAGGAUCCUGAUGUGUUUUACUUCUGCUUAUCAGAGGUGUAACCGGAGGUUCUGCAUACAGGCCUGCAAAAGGCAUGACAGGAGGUGUUUGUGUUUUCCUGACAUUGAGCAUCCCUGUACUCUGUGCCACCUUGCUGUUACCCUAACAAUCCAUUUUAAUUUUUGUUCUCUUUAGAAGACUUUCCAAUUGCCUUCACUAGUGACUCUCAAAAACCUACAGUAACAUGCAUUUUAUUGGCCUAUUUCACAGCUAUUUUAUGUUUGACACUUAACAUACAAGUGUGAAGAUCCCAUCGGACUUAUUGGCUACCAUAACUAAAAUGAAUUCUUGACAUUAUUCUAAGUGUUAGAAUUUGUGUCCUUAUUUGAGGGUGGGGGUGACAGGGGAAAAGAGGUGUUUAGCAAGUUGGAAUUAAUCCCAAUUGUUGCCUUAACACAUAUACUUUGAGCAAUAGCAUAAAUACCAGAGACCUAUUUGUGGCUUAAAAAAAUUAAUUAAAGUAAAGUGGAAAGUAUAAGGUAAGACUUCACACCAUAUACCCCUUUCCACUCUACAACUGUCUAGGAUUACUUCCAGUACUGGUAGCAUAAACUUAAGCUUUUCACCUUAAUUGGCAUUGACAGAUCUAAACUCACUGGUUUUAAUGCAUAACCAUUUUAGUAUCUGUUUCUGUAAGUGUUCUCACCUCAUUCACUUUACCAUAAAAUAAAUAAUUCACACUUAACUAGUACAUUAAGGUUUAUGAAGUACUUCCUCUGCAGUAAUCCUGAUAGGUAGCUAGUAUAAGUAUUAUCAACCCCAUUUUAAAGUGAAAGAAACUGAGGCUCACAGAGUUUAACUGGCUUUCCUAAGAUAACACUGGUAGUAAGUUGUGAAGUCAGAACUUGAAUCCAGCUCUUCUGACUCCCAAGUCUAAUGCUCUUUUCAUUACAAGACAAUGUGUAUAAUUCAGUUUUUUUUACUGUUCACAAAAGCUGAACAGUUAAUACUGAAUCUAUUAAGUUUGUGUAGUACUGUUAUGGAAGCAUUAAGUGGCUUAAUUAUAGUAAAUAUGAUAGUGGUGCUCUUGGAAAGGAGAUAGACUAAGGCAGGCUAUCUAAGACAAAUGAGGAAUGUCUGUGAAUCAAAUAUAUUCCUUUGUAAAUUGUGGUAACACUUAUGUAACACAUGACUGAUUUCCAGUUACUUCUAAAUAAAUGUCCCACUUGCGAAUCUUUACCAUUAGAUGUGCUAACUGGGGUUUUAAAUUUUAUGCUAAUGACUCUUGGGUCCUGAAAUGUUAU